rfam:Camelus ferus unplaced genomic scaffold scaffold1904, whole genome shotgun sequence.
GCAGGUAUAGCUCAGUGGUAGAGUGCGUGCUUAGCAUGCAUGAGGUCCUGGAUUCAAUCCCCAGUACCUCCA